UACGUAGGUGGCAAGCGUUGUCCGGAUUUACUGGGCGUAAAGAGCGCGCAGGCGGUCGUUCAAGUCGCGUGUGAAAGCCCCCCGGCUCAACUGGGGAGGGUCACGCGAUACUGAUCGACUCGAAGGCAGGAGAGGGAAGUGGAAUUCCCGGUGUAGUGGUGAAAUGCGUAGAUAUCGGGAGGAACACCAGUGGCGAAGGCGACUUCCGUCG
rnacentral:rRNA from 1 species